CAAACUCGGGUUCUUCCACUUGCAGGGCAGGUGGCAGAACCACUGAGCUAAAUCCCUGGCCCUCGCCUACUUUCUAUAGUAGUGUACCUCAAACAUAACUAUACAAUACCAGGGUUGUUCUUGUUAAAAUGCUAGUUUGGUUUUUGGUGUAGUUUUUUUGCUACUGGGGAUUGAACUCGGGACCUUGCGCUUCCAAGGCAGGUGGUGGAACCACUGAGCUAAAUCCCUGGCCUUAAAAUGCCAGUUUUAUUUCAGCCAGUCUGGGGUGGGGCCUAAGAUGCAAUUCCAACAAUCCUUUGUGGCAUUAUUGCUGAUCUUGUAGAUCCACACAUCAAGUGACAAGGUCCUGUAGGACUCCUUUCAAAUUCCUAAAACCACCAGUAUCUGCUAAAUUGAUACUAAGUGUUCUGUGGGUAAAUACACCCCCCCAACUCUCCACCCCCAUGCCAGAGAUAGAGAUGGCUUAUCCUUUAAAGAUAACUUAGGUUUGGUUUCUGGGUCCUUCACUGAUUCAGUGUCUUGGCUUCUUUAAUUUGCAUCUGCCGUAUUCCAUAAGGAUAGAUAGUAUUUUAAACAUAGUAGGUGCAGUAGGUAUUUGCUAGUUACCUUGUUACUUGUAAGGGAUCCAUAUAAAGGUUUGUUUCUAUUGCUGGGUGUGCUUUUAAGAAUAGUAAUGAAGUUUCGUUAUUGUUAGAAGGCUUGGCCAACAGGGCAGCUAAGGAGAAGUGGUAACAUUCAGUUUGUUUAUUUGCCCUUUAAAAUUUUUUUUUUUUUGGUUCCCAAAGGAAAUCUGAAAUAGAGUACUAUGCCAUGUUGGCCAAAACUGGUGUCCAUCACUACAGUGGCAAUAAUAUCGAACUGGGCACAGCAUGUGGAAAAUACUACAGAGUAUGCACAUUGGCCAUCAUUGAUCCAGGUGAUUCUGAUAUCAUUAGAAGCAUGCCAGAACAGACCGGUGAAAAAUAAACCAUGCAAAAUUUUUCAUUAAUAAAACUUGCCAGAGCUUGUUUUAAAAACA